CAAAGAAAGCUUAUAUAAUGACUUCUACCAACUUUUAAGUCUUUUGGUUCCAUACUCUCGCCGAUGCAGGAUGUAAGUAUUCUAUUGAUCGAAUAGCCGUCUCUUUAUUUCCUCUGACUAGAUUUUCCACUUGGUACAAAAAAUACUAUUCACAACGUUGGUUGAAAUCUAUACUUGACAAGUUAUUUUACAAGCAUGUGGUUUCAAAUACGAUGUUCCCUGAUCCAUACGACACGUAAAUGUGUUCUGAUUACAUAUUUUCCUUGUUGUUUUGGACUGCUAUGUCGGACGUCAGCGAGUUGUGAAUUGUAUUGUUGUCUACCACUAGUCUGUGAUAUGUGUUAGGUAUGUCUGAUUAGAAUAUUGGUGUUGCACAACUUAUGAUGGUGUACUAUUCCACCACCUGUCAAAUACAAGCAAAAGGUAGCAAAGACAUGGGUUUGAGUUGUUUGUUAAAAAUUAUCAACCUAACUUUAUCCCUUUUUAGUACUGGUUACUUGUGUGGUAAACCCUUCAUGAAUUACAAGCUAUCUUUGAGCAUCAUAUUCAUUAAUCUUUUUGUAAGGUUUUCUUAUUUUAGGGUAUCUCAAAUUAAACGAACUUAAUACUAAUCUCCCAAAAUUAUGAGACUCAAGAAUUGGGGUGGUGAGUUACAGACAUGGGUUUGUUAUAAUUGUUAACAAUUAGCAACCCAAGUUGAUCCCUUUUUUGUGUAGGUCACUUGAGUGGUAAACUCUUCAUGAAUUGCAAGUUUUAAUCCUUGAACGUCAAUGUCUUUUCUGCAAGGUUUUCUUCUUCUAGAGGAUCUCAAAUUAAAAGAACUUUCUUCGAUUUUUAAAAAAGUUCAUUGGUGUUGAAUCUUGGAUAGUUUUGGUGCAAUUCUUAUUAUUACAGUGUUUAGCAGGUUUUUCUGAUUCUGGAGGCUAUGUUGGAUUAGUUGGGUAUGUUUUGGACAGGUCCACAACAGGAAGGUCGCUAGAGAGAUUUCCUGCUUUUGAUCUCAUGAAGAUCUUUCUACUUGUGCCUGUUAUCUGUGGUGCAUGUGGUUUCGAUCACGUCAGAAAGUUCGGGUGUCAAUGGCGAUACGGUUUUCUUAGCUUCGAAUGUUGGGCAUUUGCAAGGAAAAUCAUAAUCAGUGAAUGAAAGGCAAAUUGGACGAAUUUUGUUUAUGUAUCUACAUCUCCGACAUAUUUUCUGGUGAAGACAUAGUAAAAUCCGUUGACGAGGUUACUCCCACCGGCUGUUAAUAAUAUACGAAUCAAAAUAUGGCAAAGGGCUCUUGAAUCUCGUGCUAAACUUUAUGGAUAUUUGUUAGAAACGAAAUUUGUUAAGUCAAAUAACACUAUUGACAAUAUUGAUGAUGGUGAAUCUAAACAGGAAGUUGCCAUUUUGGUGGGAAAGAAACAUUGAUGCAAGUUAGAAGGGUGUCCGAAGUUUUCUCCUUACAUUUAUUUUCACAUCUGUGGUAUUCCAAAAAAGAAUUUAUUUCCGUGUUUUCUGUGGCUUCGUUUACUGUUGACUUGUUAUAAGUUUGUCGCGUGUUAUGUAGUUAAUUUUUUCGUCAGAGAAAUUAUGUGCUUUCCGGAAAGGACACGAAGGGAAAUCAAGCUCUAUGAUAAUAUCUGUGCCAAAGGCUUGUUUCCAAAAUCCUAAUUGGCGAUCAGACACUUUGAAUUUGUAGUGAAAAGUAUCGAUGUAUCAACUAUGCCUUUGGUGAUAUAUCCGGAAGACUAAAUCAGUCAGGGUAUUCAUCUGCACAUCUACAUCUCAUAUUUGAUAUGCAAUCGAUGACAAUGUUUUAUGUAUGAUAACUUAACAAAAAUAAACCUUAAAUAGCUUCAUUAUA